CGGGACGGGUGAGUAAUGUCUGGGAAACGUGCCUGAUGGAGGGGGAUAACUACUGGAAACGGUAGCUAAUACCGCAUAACGUCGCAAGACCAAAGAGGGGGACCUUCGGGCCUCCUUGCCAUCGGAUGUGCCCAGAUGGGAUUAGCUAGUAGGUGGGGUAACGGCUCACCUAGGCGACGAUCCCUAGCUGGUCUGAGAGGAUGACCAGCCACACUGGAACUGAGACACGGUCCAG
rnacentral:rRNA from 1 species